UUCCAAUGAAGGACAAUUCACAAGGCUGUACCUCCUUUGUCUUAGCUCCAAAGUCUGUAAAGAUGAACUCACUAAAGCUAGCUGGGGUAAAAGAGGAAAGAAGAGUUGGAGGGGU